rnacentral:rRNA from 1 species
GUGAGGAAUAUUGCGCAAUGGGGGAAACCCUGACGCAGCAACGCCGCGUGUGGGAAGAAGGCCUUCGGGUCGUAAACCACUUUUGCACGGGACGAAAAAGGGAUAUCGAACAAAUAUCCCCGAUGACGGUACCGUGAGAAUAAGCCACGGCUAACUCUGUGCCAGCAGCCGCGGUAAGACAGAGGUGGCAAGCGUUGUUCGGAAUUACUGGGCGUAAAGAGUCUGUAGGUGGUUUGUCAAGUCUUUGGUGAAAGGCCGUAGCUUAACUAUGGGAAUGCCAAAGAGACUGGCAGGCUGGAGGCUGGGAGAGGGAAGCGGAAUUUCUGGUGUAGCGGUGAAAUGCGUAGAUAUCAG